rnacentral:rRNA from 1 species
GACGAACGCUGGCGGCGUGCCUAAUACAUGCAAGUAGAACGCUGACGAGAGGAGCUUGCUCUUCUUGGAUGAGUUGCGAACGGGUGAGUAACGCGUACGUAACCUCCCUGUUAGCGGGGGAUAACUAUUGGAAACGAUAACUAAUACCGCAUCAAAUUGAUUAUUCCCUGAUACUUACUUGAAAGAUGCAACUUCUUCACUACCAGAUUGACCUGCGUUGUAUUAGCUAGUUGGUGAGGUAACGGCUCACCAAGGCGACGAUACAUAGCCGACCUGAGAGGGUGAGCGGCCACACUGGGACUGAGACAGGGACAAGACUCCUACGGGAGGCAGCAGUAGGGGAGCGGCAGAAAUGGGGGGAGGCCUGACCGAGAAACGCCGAGUGAGUGAACAAGGUUUCCGGAUUGUGAAGCUCAGUUGUAAGAGAAGAACGGGUGUGAGGGUGGAAAGUUCACACUGUGAAGGUAUCUUACCAGAAAGGGACGGCUAACUACGUG